AGAGUUUGAUCCUGGCUCAGGAUAAGUCGUAACAAGGUAACCAGGUCGUAACGCUAGAGUUUGAUCCUGGCUCAGGAUGAACGCUGGCGGCGUGCUUAACACAUGCAAGUCGAACGAACCUUCGGGUUAGUGGCGGACGGGUGAGUAACGCGUGAGAAUCUGCCCUCAGGAGGGGGAUAACGGUUGGAAACGACCGCUAAUACCCCAUAUGCCUACUGGUGAAAUGAAUUUCGCCUGAGGAUGAGCUCGCGUCUGAUUAGCUAGUUGGUGAGGUAAUGGCUCACCAAGGCUUCGAUCAGUAGCUGGCCUGAGAGGAUGAUCAGCCACACUGGGACUGAGACACGGCCCAGACUCCUACGGGAGGCAGCAGUGGGGAAUUUUCCGCAAUGGGCGAAAGCCUGACGGAACAACGCCGCGUGAGGGACGAAGGCCUCUGGGCUGUAAACCUCUUUUCUCAAGGAAGAAGAUAUGACGGUACUUGAGGAAUAAGCCACGGCUAAUUCCGUGCCAGCAGCCGCGGUAAUACGGGAGUGGCAAGCGUUAUCCGGAAUUAUUGGACGUAAAGCGUCCGCAGGCGGCUUUUCAAGUCUGCUGUUAAAGCGUGGAGCUUAACUCCAUCAUGGCAGUGGAAACUGAAAGGCUUGAGUAUGGUAGGGGCAGAGGGAAUUCCCGGUGUAGCGGUGAAAUGCGUAGAUAUCGGGAAGAACACCAGUGGCGAAGGCGCUCUGCUGGGCCAUUACUGACGCUCAUGGACGAAAGCCAGGGGAGCGAAAGGGAUUAGAUACCCCUGUAGUCCUGGCCGUAAACGAUGAACACUAGGUGUCGGGGGAAUCGACCCCUUCGGUGUCGUAGCUAACGCGUUAAGUGUUCCGCCUGGGGAGUACGCACGCAAGUGUGAAACUCAAAGGAAUUGACGGGGGCCCGCACAAGCGGUGGAGUAUGUGGUUUAAUUCGAUGCAACGCGAAGAACCUUACCAGGGUUUGACAUCCUGCGAACCUCUUAGAAAUUUGAGGGUGCCUUCGGGAAUGCAGUGACAGGUGGUGCAUGGCUGUCGUCAGCUCGUGUCGUGAGAUGUUGGGUUAAGUCCCGCAACGAGCGCAACCCACGUUUUUAGUUGCCAGCAUUUAGUUGGGCACUCUAGAAAGACCGCCGGUGAUAAACCGGAGGAAGGUGUGGAUGACGUCAAGUCAUCAUGCCCCUUACACCCUGGGCUACACACGUACUACAAUGCUACGGACAAAGGGCAGCAAACUCGCGAGAGCUAGCAAAUCCCAUAAACCGUGGCUCAGUUCAGAUCGUAGGCUGCAACUCGCCUACGUGAAGUAGGAAUCGCUAGUAAUCGCAGGUCAGCAUACUGCGGUGAAUACGUUCCCGGGCCUUGUACACACCGCCCGUCACACCAUGGAAGUUGGCCAUGCCCGAAGUCGUUACUCCAACCCUUGUGGAGGAGGACGCCGAAGGUGGGGCUAAUGACUGGGGUGAAGUCGUAACAAGGUAACC
rnacentral:rRNA from 1 species